rnacentral:rRNA from 1 species
UAGCGAAGGGGGCUAGCGUUGCUCGGAAUCACUGGCGUAAAGCGCACGUAGGCGGAUUGCUAAGUCAGGGGUGAAAUCCUGAGCUCAACUCCAGAACUGCCCUUGAUACUGGCGGUCUCGAGUCCGGGAGAGGUGAGUGGAACUGCGAGUGUAGAGGUGAAAUUCGUAGAUAUUCGCAAGAACACCAGUGGCGAAGGCGGCUCACUGGCCCGGUACUGACGCUGA